rnacentral:rRNA from 1 species
CCCCAGACUCCUACGGGAGGCAGCAGUGGGGAAUAUUGGACAAUGGGGGGAACCCUGAUCCAGCGACGCCGCGUGAGUGAAGAAGUAUUUCGGUAUGUAAAGCUCUAUCAGCAGGGAAGAAAGAAAUGACGGUACCCGACUAAGAAGCCCCGGCUAACUACGUGCCAGCAGCCGCGGUAAUACGUAGGGGGCAAGCGUUAUCCGGAUUUACUGGGUGUAAAGGGGGCGCAGACGGCGAUGCAAGCCAGGAGUGAAAGCCCGGGGCCCAACCCCGGGACUGCUCUUGGAACUGCGUGGCUGGAGUGCAGGAGGGGCAGGCGGAAUUCCUGGUGUAGCGGUGAAAUGCGUAGAUAUUAGGAGGAACACCAGUGGCGAAGGCGGCUUACUGGACUGUAACUGACGUUGAGGCUCGAAAGCGUGGGGAGCAAACAGGAUUAGAUGCCCCAGUA